rnacentral:snRNA from 1 species
GUGCUUGCUUUGGCAACAUACACACUAAAGUUAGAAUGAUGCAGAAUUUAGCACAGCCCCUGAACAAGGAUGACAUGCAAAUUUGUGAAGCUGCCCACUUUUUU